UGAGCAUCUUCAUUUGCUCUCCCAGGUGGCGUCCACAGAAGCAGAGUUUGACCUUUUGCAGCUGUGCUGUGGGUCGGCGGGGAUGCUUGUUCGAUGUCUCAAUGCAGCUGGAGACAGUCUGACAGCGGCCUCUACUGGUCACUUGAGUCCCUGCAACUGGCUGGCUCCUGGCACCAACAUGGAUGAGACCACACACUCCCAACCUGAGACUGCCUCUGUACCGGGAGGAGAUGACUGUGGCCAGAAGGGACGAGGAGCCCCCUCUGCUCCCCAUUCACCCCCCCCCCCCCACCCAUCUGCAUCAAAU